rnacentral:tRNA from 1 species
GGGGAAGUGGUGGAACUGGCAGACGCGCCGGACUCAAAAUCCGGUGGUAGCGAUACCGUGAGGGUUCGAUUCCCUCCUUCCCCACCA